rnacentral:rRNA from 1 species
UACCAGCACCCCGAGUGGUCGGGACGUUUAUUGGGCCUAAAGCAUCCGUAGCCGGUUCUACAAGUCUUCCGUUAAAUCCACCUGCUUAACAGAUGGGCUGCGGAAGAUACUAUAGAGCUAGGAGGCGGGAGAGGCAAGCGGUACUCGAUGGGUAGGGGUAAAAUCCGUUGAUCCAUUGAAGACCACCAGUGGCGAAGGCGGCUUGCCAGAACGUGCUCGACGGUGAGGGAUGAAAGCUGGGGGAGCAAACCGG